CUACGGGACGCUGCAGUGGGGAAUAUUGCACAAUGGAGGAAACUCUGAUGCAGCCAUGCCGCGUGUGUGAAGAAGGCCCGAGGGUUGUAAAGCACUUUCAAUUGGGAGGAAGGUUAUGUAGCUAAUACCUGCAUAAUUUGACGUUACCUUUAGAAGAAGCACCGGCUAACUCUGUGCCAGCAGCCGCGGUAAUACAGAGGGUGCAAGCGUUAUUCGGAAUUACUGGGCGUAAAGCGCGCGUAGGCGGAUUGUUAAGUCAGAUGUGAAAGCCCUGGGCUCAACCUGGGAACGGCAUUUGAUACUGGCAGUCUAGAGUUUAAGAGAGGGAAGGGGAAUUUCUAGUGUAGCAGUGAAAUGCGUAGAUAUUAGAAGGAACAUCAGUGGCGAAGGCGCCUUCCUGGCUUAAAACUGACGCUGAGGUGCGAAAGCGUGGGUAGCGAACGGGAUUAGAUACCCUCGUAGUC
rnacentral:rRNA from 1 species